rnacentral:tRNA from 1 species
GGGGCUGUAGCUCAGCUGGGAGAGCGCUGCAUUCGCAUUGCAGAGGUCACCGGUUCGAUCCCGGUCAGCUCCA